UUGAACGCUGGCGGCAGGCCUAACCCAUGCAAGUCGAGCGGAUGAAGGGAGCUUGCUCCUGGAUUCAGCGGCGGACGGGUGAGUAAUGCCUAGGAAUCUGCCUGGUAGUGGGGGAUAACGUCCGGAAACGGGCGCUAAUACCGCAUACGUCCUGAGGGAGAAAGUGGGGGAUCUUCGGACCUCACGCUAUCAGAUGAGCCUAGGUCGGAUUAGCUAGUUGGUGGGGUAAAGGCCUACCAAGGCGACGAUCCGUAACUGGUCUGAGAGGAUGAUCAGUCACACUGGAACUGAGACACGGUCCAGACUCCUACGGGAGGCAGCAGUGGGGAAUAUUGGACAAUGGGCGAAAGCCUGAUCCAGCCAUGCCGCGUGUGUGAAGAAGGUCUUCGGAUUGGAAAGCACUUUAAGGUGGGAGGAAGGGCAGUAAGUUAAUACCUUGCUGUUUUGACGUUACCAACAGAAUAAGCACCGGCUAACUUCGUG
rnacentral:rRNA from 1 species